UAGUUAAUAACUAUCGAUUUGUUGGAUCCGGAGUAAUUGGGAAUCUAAUAACUGGCGACGAGGAAAAUUGUGCGAUUGAGCUGAUUGAGCUGUGAGAAGUUUUAAAAUCAGUUUUUCGGCAGAUCGUUAGCCAUCAAUCAGCGCAAGGCUCUAAGGGACAAAACCAUCCUGGAACGGGAAUCUUACAACCGAAGUUUGCUAGUAAAGGAAUUCAGAAGUGCGUCGAUCAAAGGGUUUUUUAUGGUGUGUGACUAUAGGAUCAAUUAACGUUCCCAGGAUCCGCCAUCGCUGUGUUUUGUUCUUGCUUAUCCGCAAGUAAUCUUUCGGGAAACCAGCGCCAUCUUCGGAGAUUCUUCAAUUUCAAGUGGUUGGCUUCCUAGGUUGGUGGAUUUCAAGCCGGAAGAGGCUUUUCUGAUUCGCUGACGUCAACUGACGGAUUACUUGUUGCUUAGUGGCGAGAAGCGCGAAUUCACCUUUUAUCAUUGUCGGCAACGGCUGAAAGGCGUAUCUGAUUCUAAUUGGAAGCGUGCCAACCAUGGCGCAUCGAAAUCAACUUCGCAUCUAUAGGGGUGGUGAUUCCCACGCACGACCGAAUAUCCGCUUGGUGCGGCAGCAGCCGAGGGCACCCGAAAGCGAGGAUGAAUUCCGUGGCUUCUCAGAUGUGGAGAUUAGUCGAAGCAGAAAAAGAAGGGGUGUGAUCGAACAUUCCAAUGAUCCGGAUGAAUCGCCGGAUUGCGGUCCAAGGCGAUCGAAAAGACGACGAAAAACUAAAACUGAUCAGAAUUUUCUUUAUUAAGUAUUAGUUAGUGAUUUCGAAUCACAUACAGCAUACAUUUAUAUUUGCUUAUGAAUUAUAAAUCUUUAUUAUUGUAAUUUUUAAUUUGAGAUUUAAAAUACGUAGUCAGAAUACUGUCUUCCGAAGGGGAAAGGACUGAAGUGUAUUCAGUUGAGAGUGUAAAAUGAAAAGGCCUUUAUAAUAUGAGCAAUCAUAAUCCAUUUAAACUUAGUGUGUAAGUAACUCCGUUUAACGGAAUCGAAUAACGACGGUCGAUAGAUAGACGACCGAGCAGACGAAGGUCUGAACGAUGAGCUAAAUAAAGAACGAAGUGAUUCGUAUCUGAAACCUCAAAGUGAGCUGACGCUGUUUUUAAUACCUCUAAAGAAAAUCACAGUUUAGUUAAUAACUAUCGAUUUGUUGGAUCCGGAGUAAUUGGGAAUCUAAUAGACCGGAAACAUAACUGUAGUUUUUACAGCAAGAUGCGCCGCUGGAUAGAGAGAGUUGGGAUAACAGGAGAAUUGCUCCCAGUCGAACCAUUCCUCGUGCACGACGACACACCACAUCGUCCCUAACGCCAAAUGCCCGGAUGAGAAGCUGAAAUUUCCUGAUUCCAAACCCUAAACCCCUUCUAUCCUUGAGAAUCAUCGAUG